rnacentral:rRNA from 1 species
UACAGAGGCCCCAAGCAUUAUCCGGAAUCACUGGGCGUAAAGGGUGUGUAGGCGGUCGUGUUAGUCUUUUGUAAAAGCUCUUGGGCUUAACCCAGGAAAUGCAAAAGAAACGGCACGACUUUGAGGAUGUGAGAGGUAAAGGGAACUCAUGGUGUAGGGGUGAAAUCCGUUGAUAUCAUGGGGAACACCAAAUGCGAAGGCACUUUACUGGCACACUCCUGACGCUGAGACACGAAAGCGUGGGAAUCGAACGGG